AAAGUUGUUGCGGUUAAAACGUUCGUAGUUGAAUUUGUGUCCCACACGGGCAAUGGGCUCACUUAUGGGCCUCAAUUGCUUGCUAUCGUCGUCCUCGUGGCGGCGUGCGCUUUAGUGUGCGGACGUUUUACCGGUGAGUGGCUUCGGCCGCUUAUUUAUUCACGUAAACCCUACAUGGUGCUUUUAACCGAGUGCCAUCGUGGGCCGGUACAAUUACUUUGAACAAAUUAGAGUGCUUAAAGCAGGCUAAAUUUAAUGAAAGUUAAAACGCCUGAAUAUAUUUUGCAUGGAAUAAUGGAAUAGGACCUCUGUUCUACUUUCAUUGGUUUUUAGAUCAAGAGGUAAUGAUUAAUAGAAGCAGUUGGGGGCAUUAGUAUUACGAGGCGAGAGGUGAAAUUCGUAGACCCUCGUAAGACUAACUUAAGCGAAAGCAUUUGCCAAGGAUGUUUUCAUUAAUCAAGAACGAAAGUUAGAGGAUCGAAGGCGAUCAGAUACCGCCCUAGUUCUAACCAUAAACGAUGCCAGCUAGCAAUUGAAUGUAGCUACUAAUUUCGGUUCAUUCAGUCGCUUUCCGGGAAACCAAAGCUUUUGGGCUCCG
rnacentral:rRNA from 1 species